rnacentral:rRNA from 1 species
GCAUUUCACCGCUACACUCGGAAUUCCAUGUCCCUCUGGCUGCCUCGAGCUAGGCAGUCUGGCAUGACCUCGCCCGGUUAAGCCGAGCGCUUUCACACACCACUUUACCUAACAGCCUGCACACGCUUUACGCCCAGUAAAUCCGGAUAACGCUCGUGACCUACGUAUUACCGCGGCUGCUGGCANGUAGUUAGCCGUCACUGAUUCAAGGGGUACCGUCCUUCCUCGUCCCCCUCAAAAGGAGUUUACGAUCCGAAGACCGUCUUCCUCCACGCGGCGUUGCUGGGUCAGGCUUGCGCCCAUUGCCCAAUAUUCCUUACUGCUGCCUCCCGUAGGAGUCUGGACCGUGUGUCAGUUCCAGUGUGGGGGGUCACCCUCUCAGGCCCCCUACUCGUCGUCGGCUUGGUGAGCCGUUACCCCACCAACUACCUGAUGAGCCACAGCCCCCUCCCUCAGCCCCGUAGGUUUCCUGAAGGCUAUCUAGUCACCUCCAGUUCAUGCGGUAUUAGCACGCCUUUCGGCAUGUUGCCCCCCGCUGAGGGGCAGGUCAGCUACGUGUUACGCACCCGGUCGCCACUAGGAUACAUCGCUGCAUCCCCGUUCGACUUGCAUGUAUUAGGCACGCCGCCAGCGUUCAUCCUGAGCCAGAAUCAAACUCU